GUGAACCUUACUAUAGCUUGACACUGAACAUUGAGCCUUGAUGUGUAGGAUAGGUGGGAGGCUUUGAAGUGUGGACGCCAGUCUGCAUGGAGCCGACUUGAAAUACCACCCUUUAAUGUUUGAUGUUCUAACGUGGACCCGUGAUCCGGGUUGCGGACAGUGUCUGGUGGGUAGUUUGACUGGGGCGGUCUCCUCCUAAAGAGUAACGGAGGAGCACGAAGGUUGGCUAAUCCUGGUCGGACAUCAGGAGGUUAGUGCAAUGGCAUAAGCCAGCUUGACUGCGAGCGUGACGGCGCGAGCAGGUGCGAAAGCAGGUCAUAGUGAUCCGGUGGUUCUGAAUGGAAGGGCCAUCGCUCAACGGAUAAAAGGUACUCCGGGGAUAACAGGCUGAUACCGCCCAAGAGUUCAUAUCGACGGCGGUGUUUGGCACCUCGAUGUCGGCUCAUCACAUCCUGGGGCUGAAGUAGGUCCCAAGGGUAUGGCUGUUCGCCAUUUAAAGUGGUACGCGAGCUGGGUUUAGAACGUCGUGAGACAGUUCGGUCCCUAUCUGCCGUGGGCGCUGGAGAACUGAGGGGGGCUGCUCCUAGUACGAGAGGACCGGAGUGGACGCAUCACUGGUGUUCGGGUUGUCAUGCCAAUGGCACUGCCCGGUAGCUAAAUGCGGAAGAGAUAAGUGCUGAAAGCAUCUAAGCACGAAACUUGCCCCGAGAUGAGUUCUCCCUGACUCCUUGAGAGUCCUGAAGGAACGUUGAAGACGACGACGUUGAUAGGCCGGGUGUGUAAGCGCAGCGAUGCGUUGAGCUAACCGGUACUAAUGAACCGUGAGGCUUAACCUUACAACGCCGAAGCUGUU
rnacentral:rRNA from 1 species